GUGAGGAAUAUUGGACAAUGGGCGCAAGCCUGAUCCAGCCAUGCCGCGUGCAGGAAGACGCAUCUAUGGUGUGUAAACUGCUUUUGUACGGGAAGAAACACUCCCUCGUGAGGGAGCUUGACGGUACCGUAAGAAUAAGGAUCGGCUUACUCCGUGCCAGCAGCCGCGGUAAUACGGAGGAUCCAAGCGUUAUCCGGAAUCAUUGGGUUUAAAGGGUCCGUAGGCGGUUUAAUAAGUCAGUGGUGAAAGCCCAUCGUUCAACGAUGGAACGGCCAUUGAUACUGUUAGACUUGAAUUACAAGGAAGUAACUAGAAUAUGUAGUGUAGCGGUGAAAUGCUUAGAUAUUACAUGGAAUACCAAUUGCGAAGGCAGGUUACUACUUGUGGAUUGACGCUGAUGGACGAAAGCGUGGGGAGCGAACAGGAUUAGAUACCCUGGUAGUCC
rnacentral:rRNA from 1 species